CCAGCAGCCGCGGUAAUACGGAGGGUGCAAGCGUUAAUCGGAAUCACUGGGCGUAAAGAGUAUGUAGGUGGUUAUGAAAGUUGGAUGUGAAAGCCCUGGGCUCAACCGAGGAACUGCAUCCAAAACUCCAUAACUUGAGUAUGGUAGAGGGUGGCGGAAUUUCCGGUGUAGCGGUGGAAUGCGUAGAUAUCGGAAGGAACACCGAUGGCGAAGGCAGCUGCCUGGACCAAUACUGACACUGAGAUACGAAAGCGUGGGUAGCAAACAGGAUUAGAUACCCUGGUAGUCCACGCCGUAAACGAUGUCUACUAGCUGUUGCCUCGCUUCUUAAUGGGUUUUAUUUAGACCUAUUAAGCAGCGGGGUUGUGGCGUAGCUAACGCGAUAAGUAGACCGCCUGGGGAGUACGGCCGCAAGGUUAAAACUCAAAUGAAUUGACGGGGACCCGCACAAGCGGUGGAGCAUGUGGUUUAAUUCGAUGCAACGCGAGAUCCUUACCUACUCUUGACAUCCGCGAAAGCUCUUGUAAUGGAAAGCGUGCCUUCGGAAUCCGCGUGACAGUGCUGCAUGCUGUCGUCAGCUCGUGUUGUGAAAUGUUGGGUUAAAUCCCGCAACGAGCGCACCCUUAUUGCUAGUUGCAUUCAGUUCCGCUGGGAACUUUAGCAAAACUGCCGGUGAUAAACCGGAGGAAGGUUGGGAUGACGUCAAGUCAUCAUGGCUCUUACGAGUAGGGCUACACACGUGCUACAAUGGGAAACACAAAGGGUUACAAAACCGCAAGGUCAAGUCAAUCCCAAAAAACUUCUCUUAGUCCGGAUUGCAGUCUGCAACUUGACUGCAUGAAGUCGGAAUCGCUAGUAAUCGCGAAUCAGAAUGUCGCGGUGAAUACGUUCUCGGGUCUUGUACACACCGCCCGUCAAACCAUGGAAGUGGAUUGCACCAGAAGCAGCUCGUUUAACCUUCGGGGGAACGGUUACCACGGUGUGAUUCAUGACUGGGGUGAAGUCGUAACAAGGUAGCCGAU
rnacentral:rRNA from 1 species